UACGGGGGGGGUAAGCGUUGUUCGGAAUUACUGGGCGUAAAGCGUGCGCAGGCGGUUUUUUAAGCCAGAUGUGAAAUCCCCGAGCUUAACUUGGGAACUGCAUUUGGGACUGGAAGGCUAGAGUAUGGCAGAGGGGGGUGGAAUUCCACGUGUAGCAGUGAAAUGCGUAGAGAUGUGGAGGAACACCGAUGGCGAAGGCAGCCCCCUGGGCCUAUACUGACGCUCAUGCACGAAAGCGUGGGGAGCAAACAGG
rnacentral:rRNA from 1 species